rnacentral:rRNA from 1 species
CCUACGGGGGGCAGCAGUGAGGAAUAUUGGUCAAUGGACGAGAGUCUGAACCAGCCAAGUAGCGUGAAGGAUGACUGCCCUAUGGGUUGUAAACUUCUUUUAUAUGGGAAUAAAAUGUUCCACGUGUGGGAUUUUGUAUGUACCGUAUGAAUAAGGAUCGGCUAACUCCGUGCCAGCAGCCGCGGUAAUACGGAGGAUCCGAGCGUUAUCCGGAUUUAUUGGGUUUAAAGGGAGCGUAGGUGGAUUGUUAAGUCAGUUGUGAAAGUUUGCGGCUCAACCGUAAAAUUGCAGUUGAAACUGGCAGUCUUGAGUACAGUAGAGGUGGGCGGAAUUCGUGGUGUAGCGGUGAAAUGCUUAGAUAUCACGAAGAACUCCGAUUGCGAAGGCAGUUCACUGGACUGCAACUGACACUGAGGCUCGAAAGUGUGGGUAUCAAACAGGAUUAGAUACCCCAGUAGUC